UUGCAUUAAAAAUAACUCAUAAAAAGUACACAACAUUCCGUGCUAAUAUGAAUGUUGCUGUUUUUUUUUACUUCCUCAUUUUUAAGUCAAUUAUUGCAUGCUGUUUGGAAAGGUGGCCAAAUGAUGAGGAACUUCACUUCUCUAAACAUCCUUCACCUCUCUGCUCAAAAAGACCUGACAAAAAGACUUUCUGCCUCUUCUGAAACACAAAGAUGGCUGCAGCUCUGACUCUCCUCCUCAUUGGCUGUCUGCUGCAAGGUGCCCUGUGUGGAAAGUUUGGGAGCAUUAUACCAAAUACUAUAGAGGUUCUGAAGAGAUCCUGUGUGACAAUCCCCUGCUCCUUUGACAUAGAUGAUCAAUAUAAUGUCAAAUUAGAUAACACAUGUAAAGCAUUAUGGAAAGAAAGUACUAAUGGACCUGCUGUGUUUGAUAGCAGUAAUCCACAACAGAAAGGACAAUUGAUUGGUGACCUAACAAAAAAAGACUGCACCACAACCCUGAAUGACAUGCAAAACAACAAAGUGUAUUUUUUUAGAUUGGAAUGUUUCGGUCUGAAAUACAAUUUUGAUGAUGUGAAAAUUUCAGUCACAGGUAGGUUUCAAAUUAAAUGUAUUAACAGUUCAGUCAUGUAGUAGUUCUCUGACCUUAUCAUUGAUUACUUUAAAAUAAAGAUAAAUCAAACCUUUGAUAGUAGAGAGAAAUAACUGCUUAUACAUGUUUAUGUAUCUUCUG